rnacentral:rRNA from 1 species
CACCAGCGCCACGAGUUGCAACCACAUUUAUUGGGCCUAAAGCGUCCGUAGCCUGAUUGGAAAAUCUCUUGUGAAAUCUUUAAGCUUAACUUAAAGGCGUGCAGGAGACACUACCUUUCUAGGAAUCGGGAAGAGUCAGAGGUAUUCCUGGGGGAGCGGUAAAAUGUUAUAAUCCCAGGAGGACCACCUAUGGCGAAGGCAUCUGACUGGAACGAAUUCGACGGUGAGGGACGAAAGCUAGGGGA